GUCCGACAAGCCCCUAGGGGGAGAAAGGAGAAGGGUGAAGGCCGGGCUAGUAGUCGCUGCCCGCUGGGCAGCAUCUGGAGGCCCGUGCGGGAUGCAGGCGAGGGGGAUGGAGCGGCGCCGCUGGAGGAAAUGCCGACAAGCCCAAAGGAAAGCGGAGUGUCCUGUGUGCCACAUGGAACUCGGGGAAAGGAAAUGAUUAAAGCCGUGAGGUUUCCUGGCUCUUCGUGGUGUUUACGAGCAGUGGUUUUUAAACCACGGGUUGUCAACUAUUUGUUCAUCUUGAAACCAAUACUGUGGGGGAGAAAUAGCUGGUGUCAGAAAGUUUGCAAAAGAUCCUGGUGUCUUAACAGCUGCUGGUAGAAUGGCUGAGGGCCAUAGUGAGUACUUCAGAGGCUUGGUGACUGAUGCGAGGGUGAAGACUCUUCCACUGCUUUUACAGCCCCUCUGCUCUGGUGCUGAGAAGCAGGUCUGAGGCAGAGUUUAAGAACCUGAAUUUCUUAUAACUUCCCAAGUGAUGCGAAGGCUGGUCCAGGGAAUAGACUUUCAGAACCAUUGCCAUAUAUCCUCUUAAGAAGGUGUGAAAUGGAAGGUGAUUGACAGGGCAGGGUGAAAGUGUCCCUGAAUCCUUCCACACUCACCUCAUGCUAAAGCUAACAGCAAGUCUUGCAUACUGAAAAACUUCAGUGGAGGGGAGUGAUGGCUUACAGAGGGAUUUGGGUACAGUAGAAUUUUAUCACUUUAUACAUCUAAAGGAUCGUGCCAGGAAUAUAAAUCUUCACACAUCAUAAACUGUUCAUUUUUGUCUUGUGUUUAGUCUUGCAUAUUUUAAAGCCUAGGGGGAGAGUCAAAUCAAGAUAGUUCAAUGAAAACUUAACCAAUGGCAAUUCUUUUAUAUAAAGAUAAUGUUUACCACUGUGCUGCAAAGGGACAGAUAUACUCUGUAUUAAAUGGGAGCUGUGGGCUGAACUUGAAUGUCACUGACUCUGCCAAGAUGGUCCUGGCUCCCAAGGCCUGGCUCCUGUGGCUUCCUAGUGCUGGGCUCUGGCUGCUGAGCCUCAAAGGCAAAUGGGGUUGUUGUGAAAUGCGCUGUUCUUAAUGAAGCUUUUCUUGAACCUGAAGCAUGCGAGGCAAUUACUCUCAAAGUGAGAUGAGAAAUUCGUCCGUUGAAAAGUUGUUGACCUUUCCAGGAUUACUUUUAAAAGAACCGAUUUGUUUUAUUUGACACUCUGGGUAUUAUUUAAUAAAACGCAACAGCCUCAAAAA
rnacentral:lncRNA from 1 species